UACGUAGGGUGCGAGCGUUAAUCGGAAUUACUGGGCGUAAAGCGUGCGCAGGCGGUUCGCCAAGUCAGGUGUGAAAUCCCCGGGCUUAACCUGGGAACUGCAUUGGUGACUGCAUUGCUGGAGUAUGGCAGAGGGGGGGUGGAAUUCCACGUGUAAGCAGUGAAAUGCGUAGAGAUCGAGCGGAACACCAGUGGCGAAGGCGAGUUCCUGGACAAGUCCUGACGCUGAGGCACGAAAGCCAGGGGAGCAAACAGG
rnacentral:rRNA from 1 species